UACACAACGAGUUUAGUUUAGAAAUUAUUUGGAUUUUUACUUUUUUUAUUCCUCAUAAAAUUUGUAAACCUUUUCUUUACCCGUUUUGUUAUUGAGUUGUCUGAGCUUUUAAUUAUGUGAAACUUUGUAGUUGUUGCCUCUAACGGACUGUCGAGCAUUGAAAGUUGCGUUCGUUGCAGCAAACAAAGUAUAGAAAGUUGCCACACACCGAAUAUAUAUGUAGUAAAUAUUCGUAUUUGUAUAAAGUUCGCUUGGCUGUUGAUUACCUGUCUUGGUGCAGCAUUUUGUGGCAAGUAUAAAAUGAUAAAUGCAUUUUCAUUGCAUAACGACGAGCGCUUUGGAAUUUAUGCGGCUGAACAAAAUGUCAGAGCAAUUAGCUAGGCACUCAGUAAGUGUUCAGGGCUUUUGUCUACGCGUGUGUGUGAGUCUGCGCUGACCACAAGACGGCAAGUUGCUGAACGUAGACGAGGGACGGCAACGACACCUGGCGAUUAAUUAAAAUAACUGUUUAUCAACACGAAUUAAUCAUGUUUAAACAUGCUCCAAGCUCGUGAGACCGCAUUCAAAAGUGGCGUGCAACCGCCGUUUGGGUCAUGUUAGCAGCGAACCCUUGACGGAUGCCACGCGGGGCAAACAAACAAGAAACCUGAAACACACGCAUGUGUUCCAGAAACUAAUAACCGAAGCUUAAAUGGGCAAAGUUUGUCCAACGAAUUACAGAACCAACAAGCUUUGCAACGUUCACAGAAUUUGAGAAUGAAGAGCGGCAAUGUUUUAAACUUAAAUUAAAAUUAAUAAAGCAGAAAAUUGUUCUGUAAUGUAAUCUGAUAAAAACAAUGUUUCGAAAACUGUGAAAAUUUGUCGUACUGAUAUAUAUUUCUUAAAUGA